AAGGGAAGUUGGUUGUUGGCUUCUGUUUCCAUGAUGAAUUGUAUUUUGGGGUGUAGGCUGUUGAGCGUUGGUUUUAAAGUGUUCCAUGUAUAGGGUAGCGAUGACGGGUGAGAGGGGUGAUCCCAUAGGUGCUCCUUCUAUCUGUUUGUAUCUUUGUCCAUUGUGGAUGAAGUGUGUAUUGGUUAGGCAGUGGUCAGAUCUAAGAUGUGCUUAGGGGGGUUGUAUUUGUUUUGGAUGGCUGUCAAGGCUUCUUUAAUAGGUACUUGGGUGAAGAGGGAUAUGACAU